GAACCAAAAUACUGAACAUUUACAGUAGUCACCUACUAAGUAUAAUGGUUACAUGCACUGACCUACCGCUCCUUACUUCAACCAUUGGUCUUUAUUUUAACAAUCUCUUAGCUAAUCAAGAUUGUUGAAAAUCGUAUAUUUUGCACGCAUACCAAGCAUAUAAAAAUUGAUUGCCAUGUUAUUAGACAAAAAAUUGAUGGACUAAUUCAUCUUUUACCCAUUUCAUCAAUUCACCAAUUGGUAG
rnacentral:lncRNA from 1 species